rnacentral:rRNA from 1 species
GUGAGUGAUGAAGGUUUUCGGAUCGUAAAACUCUGUUGUAAGGGAAGAACACGUACGAGAGGAAAUGCUCGUACCUUGACGGUACCUUACGAGAAAGCCACGGCUAACUACGUGCCAGCAGCCGCGGUAAUACGUAGGUGGCAAGCGUUGUCCGGAAUUAUUGGGCGUAAAGCGCGCGCAGGCGGCCUUUUAAGUCUGAUGUGAAAGCCCCCGGCUCAACCGGGGAGGGCCAUUGGAAACUGGAAGGCUUGAGUACAGAAGAGAAGAGUGGAAUUCCACGUGUAGCGGUGAAAUGCGUAGAGAUGUGGAGGAACACCAGUGGCGAAGGCGACUCUUUGGUCUGUAACUGACGCUGAGGCGCGAAAGCGUGGGGAGCAAACAGGAUUAGAUACCCUGGUAGUCCACGCCGUAAACGAUGAGUGCUAGGUGUUGGGGGGUUUCGCCCCUCAGUGCUGAAGCUAACGCAUUAAGCACUCCGCCUGGGGAGUACGGCCGCAAGGCUGAAACUCAAAGGAAUUGGACGGGGACCCGCACAAGCGGUGGAGCAUGUGGUUUAAUU